rnacentral:piRNA from 1 species
UACUUACCCACUCCCACGCAUUGAUGAUC